UACGUAGGGUGCAAGCGUUGUCCGGAAUUAUUGGGCGUAAAGAGCUCGUAGGCGGUUUGUCGCGUCUGCUGUGAAAACUCGGGGCUUAACCCCGAGCCUGCAGUGGAUACGGGCAGACUAGAGGUAGGUAGGGGGAGAAUGGAAUUCCCGGUGUAGCGGUGAAAAUGCGCAGAUAUCGGGAGGAACACCGGUGGCGAAGGCGGUUCUCUGGGCCUUACCUGACGCUGAGGAGCGAAAGCGUGGGGAGCGAACAGG
rnacentral:rRNA from 1 species